rnacentral:rRNA from 1 species
GAUGAACGCUGGCGGCGUGCUUAAUACAUGCAGGUCGAACGGACAGGCCCUGCUUUUGCUUGGUGCUCGAUUGGGGAACGGGUGAGUGACACGUGAGUAACAUGCCCUUGUAUUUGGGAUAACUUUUGGAGACUGGGGCUAAUAUCGCAUAGGAGCUCCUGCUGCAUGGUGUGGGAUGGUAAGUUUCGGCGGUUGUGGAUGGAUUAGCGGCUUCUCAGCUUGUUGGUGUGGUAGUGACUUACCAAGGGUUUGACGGGUAGCCGGCCUGAGAGGGUGACCGGCGACAAGGGGACUAAGAUACGGCCCAGAAUGCUACGGUACGCAGAAGGGGGGAAUAUUGCACAAUGGGCGGAAGCCAGAUGCAGCAACGCCGCGUGCGGAAAGACGGCCUACGAGUUGUAAACCUAUUUCGACGGAGACGAAGCGUUAGUGACGGUAACGAGUAAGGAAGCACCGGCUAACUACGUG